rnacentral:rRNA from 1 species
GACGAACGCUGGCGGCGUGCUUAACACAUGCAAGUCGAACGGAGAGGCCCUGCUUUUGUGGGGUGCUCGAGUGGCGAACGGGUGAGUAACACGUGAGUAACCUGCCCUUGACUUUGGGAUAACUUCAGGAAACUGGGGCUAAUACCGGAUAGGAGCUCCUGCUGCAUGGUGGGGGUUGGAAAGUUUCGGCGGUUGGGGAUGGACUCGCGGCUUAUCAGCGUGUUGGUGGGGUAGUGGCUUACCAAGGCUUUGACGGGUAGCCGGCCUGAGAGGGUGACCGGCCACAUUGGGACUGAGAUACGGCCCAGACUCCUACGGGAGGCAGCAGUGGGGAAUAUUGCACAAUGGGCGGAAGCCUGAUGCAGCAACGCCGCGUGCGGGAUGACGGCCUUCGGGUUGUAAACCGCUUUCGCCUGUGACGAAGCGUGAGUGACGGUAAUGGGUAAAGAAGCACCGGCUAACUACGUG